GCCUAUACAUGCAGUCGAGCGCAGGAACCGUCUGAACCCUUCGGGGGGACGACGGCGGAAUGAGCGGCGGACGGGUGAGUAACACGUAAAGAACCUGCCCAUAGGUCUGGGAUAACCACGAGAAAUCGGGGCUAAUACCGGAUGUGUCAUCGGACCGCAUGGUCCGUUGAUGAAAGGCGCUCCGGCGUCGCCCAUGGAUGGCUUUGCGGUGCAUUAGCUAGUUGGUGGGGUAACGGCCCACCAAGGCGACGAUGCAUAGCCGACCUGAGAGGGUGAUCGGCCACACUGGGACUGAGACACGGCCCAGACUCCUACGGGAGGCAGCAGUAGGGAAUCUUCCACAAUGGACGAAAGUCUGAUGGAGCAACGCCGCGUGAACGAUGAAGGCUUUCGGGUCGUAAAGUUCUGUUGUAAGGGAAGAACAAGUGCCGCAGGCAAUGGCGGCACCUUGACGGUACCUUGCGAGAAAGCCACGGCUAACUACGUGCCAGCAGCCGC
rnacentral:rRNA from 1 species